CCUACGGGUGGCAGCAGUGAGGAAUAUUGGUCAAUGGGCGCGAGCCUGAACCAGCCACGUAGCGUGAAGGAUGACUGCCCUACGGGUUGUAAACUUCUUUUGUAAAGGAGUAAAGUGAGGCACGUGAGCCUUUUUGUAUGUACUAUAUGAAUAAGGAUCGGCUAACUCCGUGCCAGCAGCCGGGGUAAUACGGAGGAACCGAGCGUUAUCCGGAUUUAUUGGGUUUAAAGGGAGCGUAGAUGGGUUGUUAAGUCAGUUGUGAAAGUUUGCGGCUCAACCGUAAAAUUGCAAUUGAUACUGGGAGUCUUGAGUACAGGUGAGGUAGGCGGAAUUCGUGGUGUAGCGGUGAAAUGCUUAGAUAUUACGAAGAACUCCGAUGGCGAAGGCAGCUUACUAAACUGCCACUGACAUUGAUGCUCGAAAGUGUGGGUAUCAAACAGGAUUAGAUACCCGAGUAGUC
rnacentral:rRNA from 1 species